UAGGAAAUCUUCGGCAAUGGGGGGAACCCUGACCGAGCAACGCCGCGUGAGUGAAGAAGGUUUUCGGAUCGUAAAGCUCUGUUGUUAAGGAAGAACGAGUGUGAGAAUGGAAAGUUCAUACUGUGACGGUACUUAACCAGAAAGGGACGGCUAACUACGUGCCAGCAGCCGCGGUAAUACGUAGGUCCCGAGCGUUGUCCGGAUUUAUUGGGCGUAAAGCGAGCGCAGGCGGUUAGAUAAGUCUGAAGUUAAAGGCAGUGGCUCAACCAUUGUAGGCUUUGGAAACUGUUUAACUUGAGUGCAGAAGGGGAGAGUGGAAUUCCAUGUGUAGCGGUGAAAUGCGUAGAUAUAUGGAGGAACACCGGUGGCGAAAGCGGCUCUCUGGUCUGUAACUGACGCUGAGGCUCGAAAGCGUGGGGAGCGA
rnacentral:rRNA from 1 species